GGUUUGAUACUGGCUCAGGAUGAACGCUGGCGGCGUGCUUAACACAUGCAAGUCGAACGAACCUUCGGGUUAGUGGCGGACGGGUGAGUAACGCGUGGGAAUCUGCCCUCAGGAGGGGGAUAACGGCCGGAAACGGCCGCUAAUACCCCAUAUGCCGAGAGGUGAAAUGAAUUUCGCCUGAGGAUGAGCCCGCGUCUGAUUAGCUAGUUGGUGAGGUAAGAGCUCACCAAGGCAUCGAUCAGUAGCUGGUCUGAGAGGAUGAUCAGCCACACUGGGACUGAGACACGGCCCAGACUCCUACGGGAGGCAGCAGUGGGGAAUUUUCCGCAAUGGGCGAAAGCCUGACGGAGCAACGCCGCGUGAGGGAUGAAGGCCCCUGGGCUGUAAACCUCUUUUAUCAAGGAAGAAGAUCUGACGGUACUUGAUGAAUAAGCCACGGCUAAUUCCGUGC
rnacentral:rRNA from 1 species